AAGUCGUAACAAGGUUUCCGUAGGUGAACCUGCGGAAGGAUCAUUAUCACGUAUCCACGUAUAAACCAAACCGUGAACUGUAUUGCCUCUCGUGUUGUGUUCUUGUCUCUUCGGAGAUGGGAAAGGGCAUGAGUUGUAGUCUCUCUCUAUCUAUUAACCAAUUGAACCUCAAAUUCUAUAUUGUUUAUUCUGAAAUGUUUCUUACUCUACUUGCAAAAGCGGAGAAGAAAUUCGUAGGUAUACGAAACUAAGUACAACUCUUAGCAACGGAUAUCUUGGUUCUC
rnacentral:misc_RNA from 1 species